UCUGGUUGAUCCCGCCGGAGGUUACUGCUAUCGGGGUCCGACAAGCCAUGCGAGUUGAGAGGGGUAAGCCCUCGGCAUACUGCUCAGUAACACGCGGAUAACCUGCCCUUGGGUCCGGGAUAACCCCGGGAAACUGGGACUAAUACCGGAUAGAUCAGAGAAACUGGAAUGUUCUCUGGUCCAAAACUCCGGUGCCCAAGGAUGGGUCUGCGGCCUAUCAGGUAGUAGUGGGUGUAACGUACCUACUAGCCAGCGACGGGUAAGGGUUGUGAGAGCAAGAUCCCUGAGAUGGAUUCUGAGACAUGAAUCCAGGCCUUACGGGGUGCAGCAGGCGCGAAAACUUUACACUGCGGGAAACCGCGAUAAGGGGACCCCGAGUGCCAGCACCUAGUGUUGGCUGUCCAGCUGUCUAAAUAACAGUUGUUAGCAAGGGCCGGGCAAGACCGGUGCCAGCCGCCGCGGUAACACCGGCGGCCCGAGUGGUAACCGUUUUUAUUGGGUUUAAAGGGUCCGUAGCCGGCUUAUUAAGUCUCUUGGGAAAUCUGGCGGCUCAAUCGUCAGGCGUCCAAGAGAUACUGGUAGGCUUGGGACCGGGAGAGGUGGGAGGUACUCCAGGGGUAGGGGUGAAAUCUCGUAAUCCUUGGGGGACCACCGAUGGCGAAGGCAUCCCACCAGAACGGGUCCGACGGUGAGGGACGAAAGCUGGGGGCACGAACCGGAUUAGAUACCCGGGUAGUCCCAGCUGUAAACGAUGCUCGCUAGGUGUCAGGUGCGGUGCGACCGCAUCUGGUGCCGCAGUGAAAACUUGAAGCGAGUCACCUGGGAAGUACGGUCGCAAGGCUGAAACUUAAAGGAAUUGGCGGGGGAGCACUACAACGGGUGGAGCCUGCGGUUCAAAUGGAAUCAAAACCGG
rnacentral:rRNA from 1 species